AUCGAGCUGACGAGUCCCGAAUAAGACGAAACGCGCUUCCUGGAU
rnacentral:hammerhead_ribozyme from 1 species